rnacentral:lncRNA from 1 species
GGUUCUGACUUGGCAGACUCGCACUCUUGCAAAACUGCGAUCCAGGUGGGAAAGGGAGAGAUGGGUGACUCCAAGAGCAGUCUUGGCUUCCUCCUUUUGCUUCUGAUUGUCUUGUUCAGCGGGACGUCCAGCGACGCUCAUUCUCUUUCCUAUAAUUUCACCAUUGAUCCUCAGCCCAGAGAUGAUCAGCCAUGGUGUGAGGUUCAAGGAGAAGUUGAUCAAAAGGUCUUUCUCUCCUAUGACUGUGGUACAGCUAAGAUCAAGUACAUGAGUCCAUUGGGAGAGGAAGUGAAAAAUAUGAGCGCCUGGGAAGCACAGACUGUCACACUCAGAGACACUGGAGACUUGCUCCAGGGGCAGAUGCCUGACGUUACACCGGAGAAACACACAGACAAGGUGGGAUCAGGCCUUGUGACCCUGCAGGCCAGGAUGACAUGCUGGCGUGAAGACGAUGGACACACCAAUGCAUCCUGGGGGUUUGGCUUCAAUGGACAGCUGUGCCUCCUCUUUGAUUCAGAGAAUGGACACUGGACAGUGGUUCAUCCUGGAGGGAGACAGAUGAAAGAGAAAUGGGAGAACGACAGGACUGUGACUGACUUCUUCAGGACAGUCUCCAUGGGAGACUGUUGGGCCUGGCUUCAGGCUUUCUUGGUGCACUGGGAGAAAAUGUUGAAGAGCUUGGCACCACCGACCACAGUCCCCACGACAGUGCAGCCCACGGCCGCAACCAACAACCACAUAACAGAGAUCAUCUUUGUGGUUCUCCCCGUUUUCGUCAUAACAAGCAUCGUAGCCUGCAUCCUUUACAAGAAGAGGAGAUGGUCCUCCCAGGAAGUGUGGCAGGUGUGCUGUCGGCCUGUGGGCUCAGUCUCUGCUCAGCCGCCUUUGCCCUCCUGCGUUCACUUUAGAGGCAAGAGAAGAGACCCAGGAAUUCGGAGCCUGCCUUCCUGUUAUGAUGACAAGGUUCCACAGGUUUCAUCGGGAGAAGCCAGGAGGAGAACCGAGCCUUCAGCUCCUCCCAGAGAAGGGGCCCCCGCCCAGGGAACUCAGGGAAGAACAGGGAAAAUGGCCAGCAUAGCGGAAAAAGAAGACCCAGAAGUCCCCUCCUCCACCAUUCACGCAUUUCCGGUCCGGGCAGGGCCAGCCAGAGAGGGUGGAGAGGGGACAUAUCAGUAUUGGCCCUUCUUUCUGCACUAGUGAUUUGUACAAUUGGAAAACCCAGACCCCCUCCUCUAAAAAACUGCAGGGUCUAAUUGAUCUUUUAGAGUCUAUCCUUUUUACUCACAAUCCCACUUGGGAUGAUUGUCAGCAACUGUUACAGGUGCUUUUCACUACAGAGGAGCACGAGCGGAUCCUGUCAGAAGCUUGGAAGAAUGUGCCGGGGUAGAUGGGAGACCCACUAUGCAGCCUAACCUGAUUGAUGAGGGAUUUCCCCUGAUGCAGCCCUGCUGGGACUUUGAGCGUGCUAAAGGUAGGGAGCGUCUCCGAGUGUACCGCCAGACUCUUAUGCCCGGCCUUAGAGCGGCCGCCAGGAAGCCAACUAAUUUGGCCAAAAUAAAUUCAGUGAGGCAGGAGCCA